CUACCACUUCCUCUCAUCUUUCUCUCUAUCAUCAUCACUGUGUUUCCUGCACGUUCCCUGUUCCUGUGCUCCCAGACCAGCGUGCUUGGGCACCCAGGGAGUGUGCUGCAGAGCUCGGAAGCUGAGUCAGGAGUUCUGAUGCUUCAUUCUGCCCUUUGCUCCAGCAGAUUCCCUUCCAGAGCUGCUGAAAAUGGAAUUAAUGAGCUGGGAGGAAACAGUUGUUUUGGAGAAAUGCCACGUUCCAGAUAUGGGGCUCAGUGAGCUGGUGAAGUUGGGAAGCCAGGGAGUCCAUGUUGCAAUGUGAGGAAGUUGGGGGCAAGAACUCUGAAGACAAGAUUGGCUGGUUUCGCUUCUCCCUCCUCACCCUGGAUCCCUUAUAGGAAUCACAGAUGGAUGAUUUGAGAUGAGCCUUAAAGGAAAGGAAAAUGUAUCUUUCUCUCCACCAGCAUCAACUAUAAGAGAGAAUUUGGGGCCUGAAGAUUAAAAGAUUUGCCCCAUCUCUGAUCUGCAUCACAAAGACUCUUUGAAGUUAUGUUCAGGAAAGGCUAUACUAAAAACAGGAUAAAUAAUAAAACUAGAUUGAAUGGA